rnacentral:rRNA from 1 species
CCUACGGGAGGCAGCAGUGGGGAAUAUUGCACAAUGGGGGAAACCCUGAUGCAGCAACGCCGCGUGAAGGAAGACGGUUUUCGGAUUGUAAACUUCUGUUCUUAGUGAAGAAUAAUGACGGUAGCUAAGGAGCAAGCCACGGCUAACUACGUGCCAGCAGCCGCGGUAAUACGUAGGGGGCAAGCGUUAUCCGGAUUUACUGGGUGUAAAGGGAGCGUAGACGGAAAGGCAAGUCAGAAGUGAAAGCCCAAGGCUCAACCAUGGGACUGCUUUUGAAACUGUCAAACUAGAGUACGGGAGAGGUAAGAGGAAUUCCUAGUGUAGCGGUGAAAUGCGUAGAUAUUAGGAGGAAAACCAGUGGCGAAGGCGUCUUACUGGACCGAAACUGACGUUGAGGCUCGAAAGCGUGGGGAGCAAACAGGAUUAGAUACCCCUAUAGUC